rnacentral:lncRNA from 1 species
UUUAAAAGUCUUUCUUUCGUUGGCUGAACAUUUUAAUAUUGUUUACCGAUCACGUUUUAUAUUAUGUAAUUUGUAUCAAGUCUUUUAAACAUUGUUUAGCAGUCUCAAUUGCUAGCGGAAUGUUUUUGAAUUCUUUAUUACUUCCGUGUAUUGGCUUGAUUAUCGUGUCACAUGUUUUGUGUGGUGUCUUGUAUGCACACAUUACACAGGAGAAGUUCGUGGUUGACACAAAAACAUGUUUGUCUUUCAUAAUGAUCUGUACAUGUAAUUUACUGCUGUAUAUAUUGUGGCAACUUCAUAAAUUUUCUGUUGAAUGACUGUGUGGUUCUUGCUUGUCUCUAACUCACCGUGUUUUCUUCCUCGCACAUGACAAAGUGCGUUGUGCGCAUUCUGGACACCAUGUUACAGGAAGGGUGUACGUUCUAUCUUCACAGUGUCCACAGGUAAUAUUGGUAAGAUGACAUAGUUUAACCUUUCGCAUGGAUUGUUUUAUUC